UACACAGAGAACUACUUAGAGGAGAUCAACUAGAUAAAAACUGUGAUGUUUGUCAUUUCUAAUUCCAGUAAUUAAGUGCUGCUCUUGUUCUACUUGAAAAGGCCUCUAUGGGAUUAUAUUAAUGGCAUAAUGGAGAGUCAAAGAAAAGAAUCAGAACUGUUAUGAAAAAGAAAGAUAUUGAAAAAUUUAUGAGCUGGAACCUUUAGAAAACGAGAGUGUGUAUGGUGGAAAUGAUCAGGAUUACUGGAAUGUUGCUGUGAAGAACAAAAUAGAGUGAAAAGAAAUUUAACUAAUGAAAGAGUCUACGUAAAUGACAAGUGUACUGCUGAUUGCAUCAUACAAGGCUGCGAAUGUAGCUCAGCGGCAUACCACCUGCCUGGCAAAUGCAAGGCUGUGAGUUCGACUCCCGGUACCAAAAAAAAAAAAAAAAAAAAAAACCUAACAAUCAUAUGCUGUACUGUACAAUAACUAGAUGAAAUGUAUUUCUCCACAAAUAAUAAAGCAC
rnacentral:lncRNA from 1 species